GUUGGUUCAAUAAAUAAAUUAUAUAGAUACAGAGCUAGGACUACAACAUUGUCCUUCCCUUCCUCCCCUCUAAUUUCCUGUGUUCUGCAUAUUUGUUCAGCAAAUCUCUACUUUAUUAAUGCUUCAUCUUAUUCCUAUGUUUUAUUUGGAAUAGCCACUAAUAAUCUUGCUCUGACAACAGGACAUUGACGAAUAUGCAGUUAGUUUGACAAAUGAAUAUCAGUUGCUCCGACAACUGCACAUCUUGUUGCACUUAGUAGCGUGCUAAAUUAAAUUCAUUUAUUUUUCUAAUCUAUAGGUUUAGUACAGCAAGGUCAAGAGCAGCAAAAUAGAAUUGUAAAGGGGAAUCUUUUGAAAUAGAAGACACAAAAAGUAAAGUUGGAGCGCUUAUUGUUGACUUCUCAGGCCACGCCCUGCAACGGAACCAUGGCGACCAUGCAGCGACUCUCCUCGGCAGCGAGAUUUUCCUGCGUCUUGUAGACUCUCUCCUGCCUACGCGCCAACCAGUGAGCCACUACGGUAAAGCCCUUACCUAAAUUCCAACCGGCUUUUUUUUGGUUGAGAGAUAUGCACCUGAAUAUUCUACUAAUAUUUAAUUCGGUUAUUACCAAUAAAUCAAAGUCUUUCUCCCAUCCAUUCAGUUAGUAGUUGAAUACAAUCAUGGUAGUGACAGUAUUACCACAUAGUACAGUAAUAAGUUGCAGCUUCAUGUGGACUUUGCUCAACUGAAAUAGACAGUAUUGAACUGCAUAUACAUCCCUUUCAAUGACAUCAGUAGGUUGUCGAUCAGUAAUUAGAUUAUUUUUCAAUCACUUUAUUGGUUGCACUACGUUACUUUGAACAUUUUCCAUUUUCCAAGACUAAUACUGAGUUGUUUGCAUCAGUAUUCCAUUUUCCAUCUGCCCCUUUCAAAAUCAGGAUCAAUGCUACAUGCUGAUAGUGUACUUCUGUUGGCCGUAUAAAUUAUUACUGGUAAUUUAGAUGUCGUGUGCCUAUGAUAUGCAUGAAUGGUUCUUGUCGAUUCAGUAUAAAUGAAUUUCACUGGUUUACAUUGAUCGUUUAUGCACAAUCGCCGACAUUGAAGACAACCAUCUGCUAGGCUCGCCGCGGUCUGCUUAUAAAACCCAUCCCAAGCUGCUGCUCUCUCUCUAUGCCAAGCAUGCUGAGCUGCCCAGCUUCGCCGGUCCUUUGUUCCUUCCCUGAUUUCUUUCUAUUUCUGUUUUUAUAGAACACAGGCCACUGACCUUAUCUCCCUCUCCAGUGAUGGCGCAACCAAAAAAAUAAUUGUGAUCACAGAUAAUCCUGAGUAUCGACAAUUGUUUUAAUCCUACAUUCCUGAUCCUAAAAUAUGGAGAAAAUGAUUCUGAAACGUAUGUACGAUCAAAACACUCAGACUCAAGACAUACUUUGUCUGUUAUCUCAGGGACCAACCUUGUAUGUAGGAUUGACCAUCCUCAACCACGUCUCACUUGUCGAGUUGUCGUGUGCAGCGAUCAUCGGAAGCACAAACUAAUGCCAAAGGCAGGAAUAAUGAUCAUUUCCUACGGAUUUCAGUAUGAUCAUUUCCUAAUGCCAAUGGCAGGAAUAAUGAUCAUUUCCUACGGAUUUUAGUAGACAGGUAUAUGAAAUAAUGAUUAUUUCCUAUGGAUUUCAGUAUUAAAAAUCAUGUUUGUCCUGGUGUAGCUGGCUCCUGGUGUAUUCUGGUUUGAUCCUGCUGGACAAGAAGACUUCAGCAGCCAGGGCCAGCCGAUGCCAUCAGCAGCCAGGGCCAGCGGCCACCCUUACCAGCUGCAGCCGGGCCACUGACGACUGCCCAAGAAUUAUUUGAUUCCCAGUUAAUACGAAGAAUUCCUUAGAUGAUUCACAAAGGAAUUUAGAGUGCGUGAGGGAAUAUUUAUAUGUAUGGGAAUAUUUUUGUUGUAAGUUAAUACUUCCACAUUUAAGAUCUAUAUAUACAAAAGAUUUUCUUUA